CGGGUAUUGACCCCUGCUGUGCCGAAGUUAACGCAUUAAGUUCUCCGCCUGGGGAGUACGGCCGCAAGGCUAAAACUCAAAGGAAUUGACGGGGACCCGCACAAGCGGUGGAGCAUGUGGUUUAAUUCGACGCAACGCGAAGAACCUUACCUGGAUUUGACAUCCUCUGACCUCCAUGGAAACAUGGCUUUCUAUGCUUGCAUAGACAGAGUGACAGGUGCUGCAUGGCUGUCGUCAGCUCGUGUCGUGAGAUGUUCGGUUAAGUCCGGCAACGAGCGCAACCCCUGUUUUUAGUUGCUAUUAUUAAGUUAAGCACUCUAAAAAUACUGCCUCGGUUAACGGGGAGGAAGGUGGGGAUGACGUCAAGUCCUCAUGGCCUUUAUAUCCAGGGCUACACACGUGCUACAAUGGGCUGUACAAAGGGUUGCCACUUCGCGAGAAGGAGCUAAUCCCAAAAAGCAGUUCUCAGUUCGGAUCGGAGUCUGCAACUCGACUCCGUGAAGUUGGAAUCGCUAGUAAUCGUGGAUCAGCAUGCCACGGUGAAUACGUUCCCGGGUCUUGUACACACCGCCCGUCACACCACGAAAGUCGGCUGUACCAGAAGUUGCUGGGCUAACCCUUCGGGGAUGCAGGUACCUAAGGUACGGUCGGUAAUUGGGGUGAAGUCGUAACAAGGUAGCCG
rnacentral:rRNA from 1 species